rnacentral:rRNA from 1 species
UGAGGAAUAUUGGUCAAUGGGCGAGAGCCUGAACCAGCCAUUCCGCGUGAAGGAAGAAGGCCCUACGGGUUGUAAACUUCUUUUCUAUAAGAAGAAAUGCCCUGAUGUAUCGGGGUUUGACGGUAUUAUAGGAAUAAGCAUCGGCUAACUCCGUGCCAGCAGCCGCGGUAAUACGGAGGAUGCAAGCGUUAUCCGGAUUUAUUGGGUUUAAAGGGUGCGCAGGUUGUUUUAUAAGUCAGUGGUGAAAGUCUGCCGCUUAACGGAAGGAUUGCCAUUGAUACUAUAGGACUUGAGUAUGGAUGAGGUAGGCGGAAUGUGUAGUGUAGCGGUGAAAUGCAUAGAUAUUACACAGAACACCGAUUGCGAAGGCAGCUUACUAGGCCAUUACUGACGCUGAGGCACGAAAGCGUGGGGAUCAAACA